UGGGGAAUAUUGCACAAUGGGCGCAAGCCUGAUGCAGCAACGCCGCGUGAACGAUGAAGGUCUUCGGAUCGUAAAGUUCUGUUGCAGGGGAAGAUAAUGACGGUACCCUGUGAGGAAGCCCCGGCUAACUACGUGCCAGCAGCCGCGGUAAUACGUAGGGGGCUAGCGUUAUCCGGAUUUACUGGGCGUAAAGGGUGCGUAGGUGGUCUUUCAAGUCGGUGGUUAAAGGCUACGGCUCAACCGUAGUUAGCCUCCGAAACUGGAAGACUUGAGUGCAGGAGAGGAAAGUGGAAUUCCCAGUGUAGCGGUGAAAUGCGUAGAUAUUGGGAAGAACACCAGUAGCGAAGGCGGCUUUCUGGACUGCAAAUGACACUGAGGCACGAAAGCGUGGGUAGCAAACAGG
rnacentral:rRNA from 1 species